AACGAGCAGGAAGCUUUGGCUCAGAGAAGUUGCUGGGGAAGGAGGGGAGGAAGGGCAGCGAGGGCCGGGUGGAAGAGAGGGGGGUCAAGGGCGUUGGGAGUCUGAGCUUCUGAAGGCACCAGGGAUGGAAGGAAGGGAGGCCGGAUCCCUGGGCCCCUGACCUCCAGCUCAGCCUGCAGACUGGUCCAGGGGCUGGCUGGUCCAGCACAGGGGCCCCGUGGCAUCCGUGAUGGCUGGUUGGAUGACUGUCCUAGCGAGUGGUGCCUCCGAAGGAAGGGGAUUGGAGGCUCGGGUUCUACGUGGGGAGCCCCUGAGUCCCCCCAGCCCCGCCCAUUCUGGGGUACAGCUCAGGUCCUCCUGGAUGUGGGCCAAGACUGCGUGUGGGACUUGAGCGCCGUGUGAGAGAAUCAGGAUGAGGAAUUCGGACUUCAGCACAGCCCCGCCUGCUGGUCCGUCCGUCCUGAGCGUCUGCUCUCUCGCCAUGCCUCCAAGUCCAAGAUUCACCGGGGCCCAGGUCCUGUGAUGCUCCUCCAGGUCCUCGCCCGACCGCCUGCCAUUGGGACAGCAGCAGGAGACAGGUGGGCGGCUGGCACGGGUCUGAGAGGUGCUGGGGCUGCCGGCAGGUGGUUCUGGGGAGACCCCGAGGCGCCUGUCCUCUGCGCAGGCGCGCACCGGCCCUUGGCCCUGGCUUGCCGCCUCCUCGCCGGAUCUGGGUUUGCUUUUGGCUCCGGGACAUUCCUUGUCCCCUCCUCCGAGGCGCCUCCUCCUCCUGCAUCUGUCCCGUCCACUCCCAGCCCUGGAGGCCAGUGUCCGGGAAACACCCCCGUGUCCUCCCUUUCUCCAUUUCUGCGUCUCCUGCCUGGGAGGGUCCUCAGCGCUUCCGCAGGCCGAUGAGGGUGGAAGGCACGAGGUCUGUCUGGAGUCCCCCCAGGGUGGUGAGCAGAGGCCCCCUUCUCCCCCCGCCCCACCCCCCAGCCUUGCAGGGCUGCAGGCCGGAGCGCCCCGUGUGUCUGUGUGUGUGUGUGUGUGUGUGCGCACGCGCGCGCGUGCACGCGCACAAAGGCAGGGAGGAGGCUGGGCCCUCCCUUCAACCUGUCAAAGCCUAAUUUCCAAAUUGCAAACACGAUUCAUGCAAUCAGAGCGAA